GUGGGGAAUAUUGGACAAUGGGCGCAAGCCUGAUCCAGCCAUGCCGCGUGAGUGAUGAAGGUCUUAGGAUUGUAAAGCUCUUUCAUCGGUGAAGAUAAUGACGGUAACCGGAGAAGAAGCCCCGGCUAACUUCGUGCCAGCAGCCGCGGUAAUACGAAGGGGGCUAGCGUUGUUCGGAAUUACUGGGCGUAAAGCGCACGUAGGCGGAUAUUUAAGUCAGGGGUGAAAUCCCAGAGCUCAACUCUGGAACUGCCUUUGAUACUGGGUAUCUUGAGUAUGGAAGAGGUGAGUGGAAUUCCGAGUGUAGAGGUGAAAUUCGUAGAUAUUCGGAGGAACACCAGUGGCGAAGGCGGCUCACUGGUCCAUUACUGACGCUGAGGUGCGAAAGCGUGGGGAGCAAACAGGAUUAGAAACCCUUGUAGUCC
rnacentral:rRNA from 1 species